CUAGAUGCCAUUGCUGUGCCCAAAAGUCCCCUCCGUAGGUGUAAGGGAAGGGCAGAGCAGACUGAAGGGCAUGGACUGAAGUUGCAAAAGUCCCAAUUUAAGGGGAUACUACCCUCACUGGACAGCUAAGAGUGGCAAAUAUAUUCUUAUUAUGGCUGGAAAGAGGUGCAUACUAAUUUUCAGGGAGCUUUUUGCUCCACAAACAAGGAUGAUUCAGAAGCUGAAGAUGACUCAAGCAUGGGCAGAGCAGCAUCCUCACUGACCGGGGUGUAAUACAGUACCACACAAACUGGACUCGUGACAACGGCAAUAAGAUCCAUUAACAAUCUCAGUUAAAUAAAGGUGGUGAAUCAGCUCUUGGA